rnacentral:rRNA from 1 species
CCUACGGGUGGCAGCAGUGGUGAAUAUUGCACAAUGGGGGGAACCCUGAUGCAGCGACGCCGCGUGGGUGAAGGAGUACUUCGGUACGUAAAGCCCUAUCAGCAGGAAAGAAAAUGACGGUACCUGACUAAGAAGCCCCGGCUAACUACGUGCCAGCAGCCGCGGUAAUACGUAGGGGGCAAGCGUUAUCCGGAUUUAGUGGGUUUAAAGGGUGCGCAGGCGGCCUGUUAUGUCAGCGGUAAAAGCCCGGGGCUCAACCCCGGCGAGCCGUUGAAACUGGCGGGCUGGAGUUGGAGAGAAGUACGCGGAAUGCGCGGUGUAGCGGUGAAAUGCUUAGAUAUCGCGCAGAACCCCGAUUGCGAAGGCAGCGUACCGGCUCCACACUGACGCUGAGGCACGAAAGCGUGGGUAUCGAACAGGAUUAGAUACCCCAGUAGUC